rnacentral:rRNA from 1 species
GACGAACGCUGGCGGCGUGCUUAACACAUGCCAGUCGAACGGAAAGGCCCUGCUUUUGUGGGGUGCUCGAGUGGCGAACGGGUGAGUAACACGUGAGUAACCUGCCCUUGACUUUGGGAUAACUUCAGGAAACUGGGGCUAAUACCGGAUAGGAGCUCCUGCUGCAUGGUGGGGGUUGGAAAGUUUCGGCGGUUGGGGAUGGACUCGCGGCUUAUCAGCUUGUUGGUGGGGUAGUGGCUUACCAAGGCUUUGACGGGUAGCCGGCCUGAGAGGGUGACCGGCCACAUUGGGACUGAGAUACGGCCCAGACUCCUACGGGUGGCAGCAGUGGGGAAUAUUGCACAAUGGGCGGAAGCCUGAUGCAGCAACGCCGCGUGCGGGAUGACGGCCUUCGGGUUGUAAACCGCUUUCGCCUGUGACGAAGCGUGAGUGACGGUAAUGGGUAAAGAAGCACCGGCUAACUACGUG